GUGAACGCUGGCGGUAGGCCUAACACAUGCAAGUCGAACGGCAGCACAGUAAGAGCUUGCUCUUACGGGUGGCGAGUGGCGGACGGGUGAGGAACACAUCGGAAUCUACUUUUUCGUGGGGGAUAACGUAGGGAAACUUACGCUAAUACCGCAUACGACCUACGGGUGAAAGCAGGGGGUCUUCGGACCUUGCGCGAUUGAAUGAGCCGAUGUCGGAUUAGCUAGUUGGCGGGGUAAAGGCCCACCAAGGCGACGAUCCGUAGCUGGUCUGAGAGGAUGAUCAGCCACACUGGAACUGAGACACGGUCCAGACUCCUACGGGAGGCAGCAGUGGGGAAUAUUGGACAAUGGGCGCAAGCCUGAUCCAGCCAUACCGCGUGGGUGAAGAAGGCCUUCGGGUUGUAAAGCCCUUUUGUUGGGAAAGAAAAGCAGCAGGUUAAUACCCCGCUGUUCUGACGGUACCCAAAGAAUAAGCACCGGCUAACUUCGUG
rnacentral:rRNA from 1 species